rnacentral:rRNA from 1 species
UACGGGGGGGGCAAGCGUUGUUCGGAAUUACUGGGCGUAAAGGGCGCGUAGGCGGUUUGCUAAGUUGGAUGUGAAAACUCUGGGCUUAACCCAGAGCCUGCAUCCAAAACUAGCAGGCUAGAGUUCUGGAGGGGAUAGCGGAAUUCCUGGUGUAGCGGUGAAAUGCGUAGAUAUCAGGAAGAACACCCGUGGCGAAGGCGGCUCUCUGGGACGGUACUGACGCUGAGACGCGAAAGCGUGGGGAGCGAACAGG